rnacentral:rRNA from 1 species
CCUACGGGUGGCAGCAGUGAGGAAUAUUGGUCAAUGGACGAGAGUCUGAACCAGCCAAGUAGCGUGAAGGAUGACUGCCCUCUGGGUUGUACACUUCUUUUAUAUGGGCAUAAAAUGUUCCACGUGUGGGAUUUUGUAUGUACCAUAUGAAUAAGGAUCAGCUAACUCCGUGCCAGCAGCCGCGGUAAUACGUAGGUGGCAAGCGUUAUCCGGAAUGACUGGGCGUAAAGGGUGCUUAGGUGGUUUAGUAAGUUGACGGUGUAAUUCCGGGGCUCAACCUCGGCGCUACCGCCAAAACGAUUAGACGAGAGUGCAGGAGUGGUAAGUGGAAUUCCUAGUGUAGCGGUGGAAUGAGUAGAUAUUAGGAGGAACAUCAGGGGCGAAGGCGACUUACUGGACUGUAACUGACACUGAGGCACGAAAGCGUGGGGAGCAAACAGGAUGAGAUACCCGAGUAGUC